GUCAGAUUUCGUUACAUUGAGCACAGCUGUUUAACUCAGGAAUCAGCUGGACACAACGGAAAAUGACAGAACACGGUACCAGCAGCAGAAGCCCUCUUUGAUGUGUGUUCACUUAAAAACAAGAAGAAGACGACCACAGAUUUAAGCUUCAGCUUGUUUUGAGGCUGUGCACCCCUUUCUCACUCCCCUACAUCAUCACUAAUUGAAUAAAUCAGGGCUGAAUCCUUGGUGUGUGCAGGUGAAGCAAAAAAGCUUUGGGAGUAAAAAGGUAAGAAGAGUCAGAAAUAAGGGGUAGCAAUGCUUGCAAGUUUUUCUUAAAUAGGUCUCAUAGAUCACUUACUAUGUCCCAGCACCUAUGGGGAAAAGUAGCAGGUGUGUAAAAAUCUUGUGAUUUACUUUUGUGUAUGUCAACAGCCUAGGUCUUUUACCUGGAUGUUUUUAAUGGUUGU